AGAGUUUGAUCAUGGCUCAGGAUGAACGCUGGCGGCACGCUUAAAACAUGCAAGUCGAACGUGAAGCCCGGGCUUGCCCGGGUGGAAAGUGGCGAACGGGUGCGUAACACGUGAGCAACCUGCCCCGAAGACCGGGAUAACACCGGGAAACCGGUGCUAAUACCGGAUGCCUUCACCACGUCGCAUGGCGAGGUGAAGAAAUGGAUUCCGCUUCGGGAUGGGCUCGCGGCCUAUCAGCUUGUUGGUGGGGUAACGGCCUACCAAGGCAACGACGGGUAGCUGGUCUGAGAGGAUGUCCAGCCACACUGGGACUGAGACACGGCCCAGACUCCUACGGGAGGCAGCAGUUAGGAAUCUUGCGCAAUGGGCGAAAGCCUGACGCAGCGAUGCCGCGUGCGGGAUGAAGGCCUUCGGGUCGUAAACCGCUUUCAGCAGGGACGAUAGUGACGGUACCUGCAGAAGAAGCCCCGGCCAACUACGUGCCAGCCGCCGCGGUAAUUC
rnacentral:rRNA from 1 species